GUUCAACAGCAGCACAUACUAUUUGAUUUUCCAAUAAUGCAUCUUUUAUGAGCACACUAUGAGCGACAACGUCUGGAAAUGUGAGGUAAGAUUGUGCAAAAAAAGGGGAAGAGCAUUAAAGAUUGCUACUACAAAAAUGUGAAAAUGCAAGAUGACAAAAGUGGAGAUUCAUCAAAACCCAGGAAACAUUACAUUUAUCACAAACAGUUGUCAUUUCUCCAACCUUUAUGUGUAGAAAGUGGGCCAACAUCUGGGAAUAUGGCUGUCGAUUUAACAGAAAGUACACAAGCCGCUGACAACAAAACUGCACAACAAGAAGCAAGCACGACACCUGAAACACAACAUACUACAUCCAAAGCCUCUCUCCCUGCUCGCACAGCGCAAAGGGAGAAAGUCCAUUACCGAAGAAAUGAAAACAGGACGAGUUUGAAAAAUUGUUGUUGGGCGUUUUGGAAUAUUUACAAUUGUUUCAGUCCUUCACACAUGCACAGCCGUUCAGAAUUACAUCUGAAAGUGACCAACAAUCAUCUCAGUUCACAAGUAGCACACCUUCAAUGAUCUUCGAGGAAAAAUCAGAAGAUUCAAUCCUGUCCUUUUAUGCACUGUAAACAAAU